rnacentral:rRNA from 1 species
AGAGUUUGAUCAUGGCUCAGAAUCAACGCUGGCGGCGUGCCUCAGACAUGCAAGUCGAACGAUUAAAGCUCUCUUCGGAGAGUGCAUAGAGUGGCGCACGGGUGAGUAACACGUAAGUAAUCUACCCUCGAGUGGGGAAUAACGUCCGGAAACGGACGCUAAUACCGCAUAAUGCAGCGGCACCGCAAGGUGACAGUUGUUAAAGGAGAAAUUCGCUUGAGGAGGAGCUUGCGGCAGAUUAGCUUGUUGGUAAGGUAACGGCUUACCAAGGCUACGAUCUGUAACCGGUCUUAGAGGACGGUCGGUCACACUGACACUGAAUAACGGGUCAGACUCCUACGGGAGGCAGCAGUCGGGAAUUUUGGGCAAUGGGCGAAAGCCUGACCCAGCAACGCCGCGUGAAGGAUGAAGUAUUUCGGUAUGUAAACUUCGAAAGAAUAGGAAGAAUAAAUGACGGUACUAUUUAUAAGGUCCGGCUAACUACGUGCCAGCAGCCGCGGUAAUACGUAGGGACCAAGCGUUGUUCGGAUUUACUGGGCGUAAAGGGCGCGUAGGCGGCUUUGUAAGUCACUUGUGAAAUCUCCGGGCUUAACUCGGAACGGCCAAGUGAUACUGCAAUGCUAGAGUGCAGAAGGGGCAAUCGGAAUUCUUGGUGUAGCGGUGAAAUGCAGAUAUCAAGAGGAACACCUGAGGUGAAGACGGGGUUGCUGGGCUGACACUGACGCUGAUGCGCGAAAGCCAGGGGAGCAAACGGGAUUAGAUACCCUAGUAGUCC